UUUUCUACAACUGUGACACUUUACUGUCACUUAAAUAUGCCUUCCUCAAACUACAUCUUGAAUAUUAAUGUAUUGUUUGUAUCCCUGCUAUCAGGACUGUCAAAGAAAUUGGACAAACAAAACAAAGACUGUCAGGUGCUGAAGAAGUGGCUCCAUCCCAUCAAGAACCACAUUUACUGGAGUGCAACUUCUACACCAGGACCAGAGAAGGUGGUCGAGUUCACAUCCAUGUUCAACCACAUUCAGGAUGUGCGUGAGCAUGACAACUCAUCCCAAGAAAGUGACAAGUGAUCCAAAGAAGUGGUUCUAACCAGGGUCAGUGACUCUACAUCAAGUGGGGAAACUGAUGAACAACAACAGGGUCUUGAAGGUGAUGGAGAAGCUGAGCCAACACUAUCAAACCUUCGCUCUAGAGUCCUACCACAUCCUGCUGCUUAGUCUCACACCAAACAAAGUGGUCUUUCCGUUCAUGGGAAUGUUCUACAGCGAAAAUGCUGAACGUGAUCAAACAACAGGACAACUGAUGUAUAAGGUG